CCAGGGAUCAAAUCCGCAACUCUUGCAUCUCCUGCACUGGCGGCAGAUUCUUUUACCACUGUGCCACCUGGGAAACUGCAUAGAAGGAUUAAAACCAUCUAGUUUGGUGGAAGAAUACCCAAGAACUGAAUGGGAUAAUUUACUUACAGUGAGAUUAUAUGUAUAUGGUUACAUGACAACCAUGAUGGUGCCUGUAAUUGGAUUCUUGACAUGGGAGCACAGAUUAUUGAUUUGAAGUUUUUCCCUUUUCUAAUUAAAUAUUUAGUGCUAUAUAUUCCCCUCUUAUUACUGCUUUCAUUGGAUCAUCAAAAAAGCAAGGAAGUUCUAGAAAAACAUCUACUUCUGCUUUAUUGACUACACCAA